CUCGGUGUGCCUGCGCCGCGUGUGCAAGAGGCAGCAAAACAGCAGCCCUGGCCUCCCCGUGCAAUUAUUUACAAAGGAGGGACUGCAGCAACACCCCGGCACAUACUGUACGGAUCUUUGAUCUCCUGCAUCGCAUUAAGUAACAAAGAGCAGAGGACUUCAGAGAUGUAUGAGAUGGUCUGAUUGCAGCGCAGGGCUCUGUCCCAACCCGGACUGGGGGUCGUACCACCAAUUCCACCAUCGUUAGAGUUAUUAUUUUUGUUUUUAGCUGGGAUACUUCCAAGAGCGCCCGAUUCCUUGAAUUAGAUCCUUACAGCCAUUGUAACGUUCACUUCCAUGUAACAGCGUGGGACUUUUUAAGCACUGAUGUUGCGUUCUUCGCCUUUAGAACCAAUCACUGAAAUGGUUAAACCUGCAGGAUGUGGUGUGCAAUUUCUCCCCUGCAAAUGUUCCCACAACGUAUCUCUCGGAGGGUUAUUACCGCUUAUUUUAUUAAGGUAAGGUAGGAGAGGACCAGAGCACGCAGCCACAAUGGGUACGGAGCCACCCGAGUGCAUGCCCAGCAGCUCGAUGCCAUCUACUGCAGCCAGGGGUGGGCACAGGGCAGUGCCCAGUGCACUGCUGAAACAUGAGGCACUGACUGCAAAUGCCUGGUGCUCCUCGUCUCAUUCUCUCGGUGCUGGAAGUGUCUAUGGAUGAAGCCCUUUCUAGCAGCUCCCAUAACAACAACCACUGUCUGGGUGAGGAGAUUAAAGCGGGAGAAAAGGAGGAAUAAAAACAGCAAACCUGGGAAUAUAUGCCAUUAAGCAUUCUAUUGUACUUGCCCCAAAAUGAUAUUCUUGGGAAUUUACUCAACAUUUUAUUACUCACUGUAUUUAAAAAUAUAUACUUCAUCCAACUCUUCUUUACACAGUGGUGCUGCUAAACAUUUAGCAUAUUUUAUGUGUUCAAAUAAACUGGAGAGCGUGGCUUGCAAUGCUAAAGAAAAGGUAGCAAUUUACUGGCAGAACUCGAUUUCACACUUGUAACUUUUACACAGAGCCUGACAUUGUUCUCUUUACUAAUUGUAAGCCUAAUAACUUGUCCAAAGAACACAGAAAUCUGUUUUCAUGUCUGUGCUAAGAAUGAAAGCAAGUGGCUAAGAAUGUCACAAGUGGCCAUAGUCAGUGAGGGCCCAGGGUGGAAAGGUACAACAUAAUAUAAGAAUUUUCAGGAUCUAAUUAAAAAUGGCUAAGAAGCAUGCAAAUGCCCACUGUGCAGGCCAGUGCUGGCUAGAGGGGAAGGAAAGGGGUGAGAGUGUUUACCAUGAGGUAACCCAAGAGAUUGGGUGGGGAUAUGCUUCACCCUGCCCAUGCCAUCUCUAUGGCCCUUUUGAUGGGAGAUGCCUUCAGUGGGAGCCCCCAGGAUGUCCCUCAGGCUCCAGGUCCAGAAGCUCUGGCCUCUUCAGCAAGAAUUUUCAGUGGGGCUUUCAUCCUCCAAUAGAAAAUUUGAGGUCAGAAAGGUGUUGUUAUUGUUUCCUUUAAAAGUCAUCAUUGAUGAGUGCACAUUUCAAUGUCCUUUAAAAAAAAAAAAAAAAAGUAGGGUGAGAAGUCAUCUGCCUCCCAUAGUCAUUUACCUGAUACAGGUUUGGCUGAGUGCUCUUCCAAAUGGGUUUAUUAGCCACUUCACAGUUUGUUCCAGAACAAUGACAAAAUGCUGCUUUUGGGGCUGGUCACUGCUUUGACUAUGUUCAUUCUGCCCAAGGCUGGGAAAGAGGGACCCUGUGGUCACCCUUCCAGGCCAGACCCGGCGUCCCACCAGGCACACUCAUAUCUACCGCAGACUUAGCCCACAGCCCAAACCAUCUGAGCCAAGCCAGAAUAGUUAAACUUGUCGCCAUCUCAGAAUUAGAAAAGUGAAUUUAAUCUUGGGCUGUCAGUUCAAUUUUUCCCAGCAGUUUCACUGAACAAUCUUAUUUUCCCAUAAGAAAAAUACUUGGGCUUCUAAUGAAGUUUGCUAAGGAGUUAUUUUGUUUGCUUUUGCGAGACCAAACAAACCAAACUAUGUGGGCUUCUCUUUAGUUGUGAAACUUCUUCCUCUGAUGCAUUUUCUAGCUCCACACAAGUAGGGUCACCUAGAGUGAAAUUCUAGGAUUUGCGGGCCUUGUCCUUCAGAUGCUGUGAGAUCUCCACAGAUGUUGUAAGCUAACCACUUCAGCUAAAUGAUAUUAUCGCUGUUGUAAAUUAGGAUGCGUCUAACAGAAAACCCACCAAGAGAAUCUUUGCAUGGACUUCAUUUAGUGCUGGCUCCACACCAGCAAGGGUACACACAUCGGGUUCACUUAUCAACCCAAAAGGAAGAGAGAGGCCAAGAGGAAAAAUUCUUAAGUUAGACUUCGUCAUACAGCUCAUCUUAGAGCUGGGGACUGUGGUUAGACACAGAACAACCACACCACUGCAAAAGGUUGAGAAAACAAAGCCAUAAACCACACGCAUGACUUUUCCCCCCUUGUAUAGGCUGGUUGAAGUCAGGGCUGCUCUGGCAGCAGAGUUGACUUUUCUGGUGAAAGGAUCUACGCUGCCAGCAUGAAUGCAUACUGAGCCAUAGUAGUAGGCAGAAACUUCUACAGCUGCCUGAAGGACUGAAGGAAAUGAAGAUCCCUGUCCUGUGAAACUUUCUGCAGGUGCUUUUGAAGAGCAGCAUAACAACAGCCUGAUUUUACAUGGACAACUCAUAUUAGCAAGACUUCAGGGCUAGCUGUGAGUUUGCCCUGCCUAGGUGUCCUGCCUGGUGGCAACACCACCCACCGAACUGCAUUUUGGACCCCCUGGCAUCAGCUAACUGUAGAAACCUUCGUUCUUAGCACAUCUGUCACUAUUUUAACAUCUUAAAAAAUAAUUCUGUAGUUUGUAACCGAGCGACGCUAUAAAAUCACAUUUCCUUUCAUCGCAUGCCACUAAGUCACUCAAGGGCUGACUUUAAUUAAGCACAAGGUCAGAAAUGCAAUUAUAUACGACGGUAGGUGCAAGACAGAGAGCAGAGACACGGGAGCUCCUCGCAUGCCUCGGUGCUGGAGGUGAGCAGCGGGUUGCUGCAGGCAGG
ensembl:lncRNA